rnacentral:rRNA from 1 species
UACAGGGGGUGCAAACGUUGCUCGGAAUCAUUGGGCGUAAAGCGCACGUAGGCGGUUCGUUAUGUCGGAUGUGAAAGCCCUUGGCUUAACCGAGGAAGUGCAUCCGAAACUGGCGAGCUAGAGUACUAAAGAGGAUCGCGGAAUUCCCGGUGUAGAGGUGAAAUUCGUAGAUAUCGGGAGGAACACCGGUGGCGAAGGCGGCGAUCUGGGUAGAUACUGACGCUGAGGUGCGAAAGCCAGGGGAGCGAACGGG